GGUGUUGGGGGCAAUGUCGAUCUCUCCGCUCUCGCUAAAGAAGACGAAACAAUUUCGUUAAACACACCUGCGCUUAGAGACGCUUAGAAAACAAUGUUCCUGCUCUUGAUGUCCCUGUGAGCUAUCGCGGGUUUGCCCUGUGUGCCGAAGAUCUCGAUAGUCGUGCAACGAGCCUCUUUCAUGGUAGUCCGUGAUCAAGAGCAUCUGCGUCCAAGACCCGGUGCCCUUGAUGUCGGCGGCGAUAAA